UCUGACUUCAGAAACUUACAGUUUUGGAGGCAGCUGGGUGGCUCAGUGAAUUGAGAGUCAGGCUUAGCCAUCCUAGGUUCAAAUCUGGCUUCAGAUACUUCCCAGCUGUGUGACCCUGGGCAAGUCACUUAACCCCCAUUGCCUAGCCCUUACCACUCUUCUGCCUUGGAGCCAAUACACAGUAUUGAUUCUAUGACAGAAGGUAAGGGUUUUAAAAAAAAAGGAAGAAAGAAAAAAGAAACUUACAGCUUGUGACCUUGGGAAAGUCACUUAGCUUGGUUUGCCUCAGUUUCUUCAUCUACAAAAUGAGCUGGAAAAGGAAAUGGCAAACCACUCUGGUAUCUUUCCAAGAAAACCCCAAAUGGGGUCAAAGAGGUGAACACAACUGAGCAACAAUGAAGACUUAUGGAGCCAGUAUGUGUCAGAAAUAUGACUUGGACACAGAUCCCAUUAUUCUAGCUCCAGAUCUAAGCCAGGACAAGAAAAGAAGGGGCUUGAGCAGCCCCUGAAAAGGCUCGGAGUGGAGGGGAUUCACUCCAGCUCUCUGUGGCAGGUAAGAGGCCUUUGGCAAAGGACAAUGGUGGUUCCCUGGAUAGUGUGCUGAGAUGCCCAGAUGACAUAUGAAAUAGACCUCACCAGGCAGGGAUAUCCUGGAUAAAGGACAAAUAUUAUGUAGAGGACAAAAUGGAGUUUAUUGACCCCUCCACUGGGCUCAAAUUACUCAGAAUAUUUUUACAUCUCAAAUUAUAAGAAAAAGGGGGCGUGAAGUUCACAGAAUCACAGAAUGUCGAAAUUAAG
rnacentral:lncRNA from 1 species